GAUGAACGCUGGCGGCGUGCCUAAUACAUGCAAGUCGAGCGAACAGACGAGGAGCUUGCUCCUUUGACGUUAGCGGCGGACGGGUGAGUAACACGUGGAUAACCUACCUAUAAGACUGGGAUAACUUCGGGAAACCGGAGCUAAUACCGGAUAACAUGUUGAACCGCAUGGUUCAACAGUGAAAGACGGUCUUGCUGUCACUUAUAGAUGGAUCCGCGCCGCAUUAGCUAGUUGGUAAGGUAACGGCUUACCAAGGCAACGAUGCGUAGCCGACCUGAGAGGGUGAUCGGCCACACUGGAACUGAGACACGGUCCAGACUCCUACGGGAGGCAGCAGUAGGGAAUCGUCCGCAAUGGGCGAAAGCCUGACGGAGCAACGCCGCGUGAGUGAAGAAGGUCUUCGGAUCGUAAAACUCUGUUAUUAGGGAAGAACAAAUGUGUAAGUAGCUAUGCACGUCUUGACGGUACCUAAUCAGAAAGCCACGGCUAACUACGUG
rnacentral:rRNA from 1 species